AAAAACUGAAAAUAGAGCUACCAUGUGAUCCAGCAAUUCCAUUCCUGGAGGCAUUCCCACGGUGGGACAAGCCCAGGGAUCCCCGAGUGUAAGCAGAAAUGAGACUCGGGGACCCUCCCCAGCUGAGGCCUGUUGGGGGCUGAGGCCGCGUCUGCACCCCCUCCCCAAUACCCCGUGUGGCCAUCUGGCUUCGGACCAUUCUGCAUCUUUGGCUAAUUAACCUGGGAACCUAACACCGCCUAUGCUGAGGAUGUGUGCGUGGCCCCUUGCUACCUGUGUGCAGCCACCAGAGCCACUAGAGGUGACCAAGGGGGCAGAGUCCCCAAAAUGACCACCAGAAAAACCUGUUGAUCUGGCAAAGCUGAGUUUACUGGACUCACUGCCAAGGCAAUGAGGAAGAACACCCGCCUCGACAGAGGAACCUAGAAAAAAGGCGCAGAGCCUUAGAGCCGUGCAGUGGUUUCCAGGUGGGAACCUGGGGACAGGGCUUUGGAUUGGCGGACACAGCCUAGGGGCGGGGCUCCACCCAGGGUUGGGUUACAGUCUUACCUUCCUAGGGCAAGUCCGUCCCGAAGCCAAACGCUAGUGUCCUCUGCUCCGUUCCCAGUUUGACAAGGCAAUGGGAAAGGAUGCCCAGUCCCAGAAUUGUUCGUCGUGGGGACAGGGUGGCCUGUUUGUUCCCAGUGCAGCUUAACACAGGACUAGGAGAGGGUACUCGUGUCAGAUUUCACAAGUAAGACCCCCUCGGCCACUGUCGGCCCCCACUCGCUCCCCUGGGAGGCCACCAAGAUGACUUGUUGGUCAAAAAAGGCCAAGAUCAUUGCAGCUGCAGUAAGAGAGACCACGACCUUGACAGAGCCUUAGGGGCUUCUUGGAGGGGCGAGGUCAAGGGUGAGGUGUUUUUCAUUAGGUUUUUCCAGUCUGGUGUAAGGCAGGUCUUUCAACCAGGGGGUCUGAUCGGGAUGGAGCAAACCCAGCUCAGGACUGGCGGAUCCUGCCAAGCGAAGGCUUUGAAGGUAACUGGAAGAAUAAAGGGCCCUCUGAAAAGCCCCGCUGAGCCUGCUGUGGUUCUUGGCUGGAGGCUGUUACCCUGAUGAGGGCCGGUUGAAUAAUCUAAUGUUUGGAUAAAUGGAUUUUGAGGAA